UUUUUUUUUUUUUUUUUUUGUUGAUGUUUGAGUUGACACACCCAUUAAUAAAACAAUUAUUGAUAUAAGUAUUUUACCAUAUAAUUCCUACUAAUUAGUGUCUAGUAUCGGUUUUGAAAAAUGAUAUGGAGAAUAGUAUUUAAUGUUAGGGGUAAAACAUAGACUGUUUUUGUUAUAUCAAAAGUGAUAAGUAAAAAUGAAAAUAUAUUUUAGAAAUAAGUUAAAUGGUUAAGAAACACUAGUAUUUUGAACUCAAGAUUCAAACCAAUGGUCUCACAUAAAAUGAACGAAUUGAGUACUAAACAACUGUUAUUAAACCCUUCUUCAUAAACGUGCAACAAAAUCAACAAAAAUGAUGAUUUUGCGAUCAAGUAUAAUUAUUAGCAAUGAUUAUAUUCAACCAAAUUGCAUAACUUAAUUUCUUAAAUUACAUAAAAUAAAAUUAUUAGACCAAAAAAAUUAUCGCUUAUAUAUUCAAGUAGUAUAGUUUAUUUUAAAAUGUCAUUUUCACUUGAAAAAAUUAUUAUUUUUUCGAAUUUUACAAUGAAACAUGGUCAAACCCACACUUAAUUUAGUCCCUCGUGUAUUUUUUUGAAUUUUACAAUGGAACAUGAUCAAACGCACACUUAAUUUAGUCUCUCGUGCCCUUGAUAUUUAUGAGGAUCAUGCCAGUAUUGAUAAACUUUUAAGGACUCAGGCCGCGACUUUAGGAGGCAAUGGGUGUUUAAGGUCCAUUAAACAUCAUUAGAAAGUUAAGCAGAAAGCAUAAUUGUAAUUUGAAAAGCUUAAUUACUACUCCACAUGACUCCAAAAGAGAAAAUAAAAUGAUUAACACCAUGGUGUGAAAUAGGACUUUCAGCCAAAGCAGGUUCAACCACUCCCUAUAUUAUAUUAGAUUCAAUAAUACUUUAUAAUAAUCGACAACCACUCCAUAUAAUUAAGUAAAUUUUCAAAUAAUGAAUAAUCAUAAGAGUAAAUUUAGGUCUACACUUUUCAAGACACAAAGCAACCACUAGCAUCAAUUAAAGGGAUUUGUUAGUUUCUUGCUGAUUUAUUUAGACAUUGCAACAAUGGAGGUUGGCAGUAGUGACACAAAAGAAGAGAUGUGUAGAGUUGUGAGACAUUACCAAAUUAACAUGACUGAAGGCUGCUUACCAGACAGACCAAUUUGAUCUCUAAAUGGUAAUUGAGAGAUUAAAAAAAAAAAAAAAAAGGGGGGUUGGUUUAUAAUACUUUAUAAUAAUCGACAACCACUCCAUAUAAUUAAGUAAAUUUUCAAAUAAUGAAUAAUCAUAAGAGUAAAUUUAGGUCUACACUUUUCAAGACACAAAGCAACCACUAGCAUCAAUUAAAGGGAUUUGUUAGUUUCUUGCUGAUUUAUUUAGACAUUGCAACAAUGGAGGUUGGCAGUAGUGACACAAAAGAAGAGAUGUGUAGAGUUGUGAGACAUUACCAAAUUAACAUGACUGAAGGCUGCUUACCAGACAGACCAAUUUGAUCUCUAAAUGGUAAUUGAGAGAUUAAAAAAAAAAAAAAAAGAGGGUGGUUGGUUUGACAGCAAAGUAUGUAACAAAUCAAGAUGAGUAUCUUACUGUGGAGAGCCCUUGAGGGGUACUGAUGAUAGCUAAUGAUUGAUGUGGUAGGCCCUCAUGGUGUUCAAAUGAGAUUGUGGGAGCACCUACUUGGCCACAAUCAACUGGCUCAAAGUUGGUGGGGCUUCUUCUGUGCCACACUAGGAAUCAAAGUUUUCAUGAUAUACUAUGGAGACAAAUGAACUCUUAAAGCAGUUAAUCCUGUCACUAGACUCGUCAAAACACUAUUAUUUCUUAAAUUAUCACCUCAUCUAAUUGUGGCCUAAAGCAAACUAACGAGGUCAUUCCAGAUUUGCUCAAAUGAUCAUUCAAACUCCAGGCAAUGUCGUAUGGACUAGAAUGGUGCAUCAAGCAAAGGGAUAAGAUACAUCAUAGCUAAUGAAUGGCAAGGCUGGCAUUCCUUGCAAAAUGACACAAUCAGUGAAUCGGAUUAAGAACCUGGUAUUACAGUAUGACAUAGUUAUCAAACACUGCCUGACAGAAGCUAAUCAAGUUGACAAGCACCAGCUACAAACUGGAAAAUUCCUCAGACCAUCGUGAACAUCAAGAGUUGCCUCACAGAUAAUUAGAGAUCUUUUGAUUCUCAACAGAUAGACCAAGGAAACCCGGCAUAAGAGCUGGGAUUGUCCCUCCUAUAGUGUACAUCUUAUUGUUGUUAAAUAAAAUCCCACCCAGCAUACCCUUAAAGAAGAAGGGAACAACUGGCAAGACACAAGGGUACACCACCUCAGAGACAAUUUCACAUAUUUCCAUUCCCAUUUUUUCCUCCUAGUUUGUCAAAUUGAAUUUCCACCAAUUCUUUUAAGCUGUCAAUUUUUGUGAAGAAACAUUAGUUAUUUACAGAAGGCAAUAGGCAAGCAUAUGAAGAGGACGAGGAGAAUAGUAUCCCAUAUUAGUUGGAGUUGACCAUACAAACUCUUACAUCCAUUCCAUAUUAUAUUUAAUUACCAACUAAUUUGUCUUGUAAUGCAAAUUAGUAGUCUCAAUGUAUGACCAUUAUCCAGAGAAAAGCUAGAAAGCAUUUAUUAUCGCCUUAAUCUGUUUCAACAAGUUGCAUUAGAGUAAAGAGUACAUGAGCAGUUCUGAUACCCUCAAGCUAUCUACUGUAUAGAGUACACAACAGCUCCAUCAGGAUUGCCCAAAUGUUAGCAAAUUGCUCAUUGUGCACCUAAGACUUCAAUCUCAAAAACCAGAACUGAGUUUGGCUGAAUACCCCAUGCUGGAAAUCCACCAGCACCAUAAGCAUAAUCAGGGGUGCACUGCAAAAUUAAAGACAUCAGUUUAAACCUCUCCUUAUAGAAGAUCUUAAUACAUAAAAGUCUAGAAACUUUUUUCAGAUAUGUACACAAUUAUAGCAAGAUUAAUACUCUUAGGAAGAAUCUAAAUAUUGUAUCAUCACCAUUCUAUUAUAAACUUUUCAGCCAAUCCCAUCAAAAAGAUGGAGAUGAUGUGACCAUGAAAUGGGCAGUUACUAUGAGGCAGAAAUUGAAAAACGACCAUUAGGGGGAGCCAUCUGAAACCAUCAAUAUAUUUGAGUAUCAAUGGUAGAAAACAUCAUAAUGUCUACCAAAGCCGUCUUAACCACUAGGCCAAUAAAGUCAUCACUUGAGGCCCAAUAUUUUUGGGGGCCUCAAUUAUUAUUUUUUUAAAAAUACUUAUAUAUAUAUUAUUUUUUUAAAAAUUAUAUGUACUUUUAAAAAAAAAUUAAACAAAACAUGUAAGAAGUAUAUUUUAAAAAAAUGACCGUUAGUUUUUCCACUUGGGAAUGAAACAUUUUUUGGGAAUAAUUUCCUUAAGUGGGAAGUUGUGUUUCCUUAUUUAUCUCCUAAAAAUUUGACCCUACAUUAUUAUUUGCCUUAUACUCGUCUUUUUUAUUCUCUAUUUUAUUAUUUUUAUUCUCAAUAUUGAACUCUCUCCUACAAUCUUUUUUUUAUUUACUAUUGCUUACAAGUUACAAAAGAACAAAAAUUGCUUUUGGGUGUUUCUUCAAAAUCUCAAGAAGUGUAACAAGCAAUUAUUAUAAUAAUAUUAUAAUAAUAUUGAAGGAACACAACACUAUGUCGAUAUUGUUUUAUCAACUUGUCAAAUUCGUGAGCCAAGUUACAUUAUUCUAACUUCAUUUUAUAGUUUUCUUGAAAAUCUGUUAUUGUUGAUAUUCUUAGUUCAUAAGUAUAUAUAUAUUCUUGUUUUAGUUAUUAUUAAAAUUAUUCAAUUUAACUAUGUCAAUGAGAAAAUAUGAUUCCGGUUUUACAAAAAGAGAGAAAAAGAGAACUUGAAGAAUUAAAUAAAUCCCAAAAAGGAGCCUUUGAUAGAUUUUUAAAAAAUAAUAAAAAUUCUCAUUUAAAAAGUAUUGCUUAUAGAAUAAUGUUAACAAUUCUUGUAAUUGUUGCCUCAGUCGAAAGAAGAUUUUCAAAACUAAAAUUGAUAAAAUCUUAUCUAAGAUCAAUAAUGUCUCAGGAGAGAUUGAGUGGAUUAGCUAUAUUAUCAAUUGAAAAGGAAUUACUAAAACAAAUCGAUUAUAAAACAGUAAUUAAUGACUCCGCAUCUAAAAAGGCUAGAAAAGUAGACUUUAAAUAAAAAUAUUAGGGCCCCUCUUUAAGGUUUGGCUUUCGGCCCCAAUCUUGUUGAGUCAGCCCUGAUAUCUACUAAUAAGCCAGUCAGCCAAAAGGAUUGUGACAUUUUAGUGAAGUGAAAAUAAAUCAAAACUCAAUAAUGUAAAAAUUACUAAGGAGAUAUCAAGCUCCUUUUUUUCCAAUUGCCUCUUAGUUUUCUGACUAUAAACCCAUAACUCAAUGGAAGUCUAAACUUAAUAACAUGGAUAACUAACUCCUAACCAUAACUAACUCCGUGAUUAAUUUUACCUCAACUGAGAAUCAAAAGAAAAGAGAAGCCAUUUACCGUUAAUCGAGCAACUUCUCCUAAUUGCAUGCCCAGUACUCCUUCAUCCCAUCCUGUAAAAAAGGAGAUAUAAGAAUAAAAGAAAUGCAACCCGAGAGAACUGUCACUAUGGUCUACAGUGUUCUCAAAGUUUCUCCCUUUGAAGACCCCAGAAGGAGGUGGGGAUUUGUUCAUAAUGGGCACAUGUCUGACAAAUAUAGAAGGAUUUAAAUAUAUGCCAGUACAAAAUUUUACCACAGCCAAAUUUCACUUCAUUAGUCGGAUAUGAGCUUUCAAUUUGAUAAAAGAGUGUUAGUUUAUCCAACAUUAAUCUGUUAUCACUCAGACACCGAAGAAUCAGCUGAAUUAUGUGUGUGCUUCAAGGGGAAAGCUAUCUUUGCUCCUUCCAUUGUGUCUUCUCUAGAAUGAUAGCAAGCCGGUUGUCUUAACUUAAGACCUACCAUCAUUUGCCAACAGAUCUAUAACUCUACAUGAAUCCACCUAUGUCACAUUUAGACCUCUUUGACCACUAAAGUAGUAAGCUUUUGUUUGCUUUACACAAGUGUAGUUUUCUGGCACUAAAAGCUGUCCAGUAAAAGAGAUAUAAGCUUCUGGACCACUUCUAUGGUCAGAAAUCAAGUUUUAGAGAGAGAUUUAAAAUGAAAAUUGAAAUCAAUAAAAAAAGAAGUGGGAUCACUACUAUAAGUUCCAUUCAUGGUUAGUCCAAUAUAAGAUUACUAAAUUUUCCAAACUGAUUGUCCAAUUGAAUACAUUCUCACGCAUUUAUUAACAACAUAUACUAACGCAUAAACUAGGGGACAAAUCAUAUAAAUCAAUAUAUACAGGAGUCAUAAGUACCUUUGAUAACUUUGCCUUGGCCGAUCUUGAAAGAGAAAGGCUGCUGGCCUGGAUCCUUAGUGCUGUUACACGUACAAAUUAGGCAAAGAUAUAUACUACACAUAAACAACCCUGUAUCAAACUUCAUAAAAGAAAAAUAAUAAGUUUACCUCCAGAACUUCUGACUCAGGUCUCUAUCUUUCCCUGCAGGCAUAAAACAAGAAAAACAAUAUUAACCAAAACACUACUAAAAACUGUACUUAAUAAAGAAUCAAACUAAAUUAAAGAUCCGAUUCAUCUAUUAAGGAGAAAAACAGACUGAAUUAGAGAUUAAACCCUAACUAAUUUGAUGCGAUUUAUCCGAUUCAUCCCUUGUGAAAAGAAAAUGGAUCUUUUUCUUGGGGGAAAAAGAAAGAGGACUCACCGUAACCAGUGCAGUGGACGGUAACAGUUUGACCAGACUGUGGUUUGGGGCCAUUACCGGCUCUGAUAACUUCCUUCUCCACUCCCAUUUUUUCCGGUGAUUUUGAUGAAUUCUCUGAUUUCUUGUUUUAGGGUUUGAUGACUGAAACUGUAGUGCUUGUCAAUUUCAAGGAUCAAUGUCACGUGAUUCUCGCGUGCGGCAGCGGAAUAUCUUCGUUACUUUCCUUUUAUGCCCUUUUUCAAACAAAAAAUUAUAUAUGGGCGGAUUUCUAGCUUGUUCGAGGAGAAUAAAAAGUGCUCCUUUUUUUUUACUUCUUCUUUUGUAGUAUACUCAAAAUAUAUUUUUUAUUACUUUUUUUUAUAUAAAAAUUUACUUAAUUUUUCUUUGUACUAUCAAGAACCCCAAUAAUUUAUUGGGCAUUAUACUUCUCUCUAUGCACUUUUAAUUGUUAAAAAAAAUUUGAGUCAAAUUAUAAAGACUUUAAUUAAUGUUUUACGAUGGAUUUUUUUAUUAUAUUGUAAUGCAAAAAAAUUACGAUAAUUUAUAGUAUUUUUUCGUAUACUUUUUGAAUAUCUAAAUAUUUUGUAAUUAAUGUAAUCUAAUUUAACUUUAAAAAUUAGUCAAAUUAACUUUUAAAAAAUACAACAUAACAACUAAAAGUAGACGAAAAGAGUAAGUAUUUGAAGAAAAAAAAGGCCAUUUAGGAAAGAUUUUCAAAAGGAGUUGCAAAUUGAGUCACGAAGUCAUACAUAAAUUUCAUUUAGAGUGUGCAUGCUGCAUAAGAAAGUUCUCGAUUAUUUUAAUCCAUAUCUUAUCCACUUUACUUAUUAUACUUUAUUAGGAUUCCAAUGAAUUUUGUUGUUUGGACUGAAUUUUGCUAUAUAGAUAACAAUAUUAGAUCUUGUGUUGUUCGAACUCUUUAAAAUAGUCACCAAUUGUGUGUUGGCUCCUCUAACAAUAGUGCAAGUCUGAGCGAUAUAGAUUCUCAUGCUUGCUUUCUUAUCGAUCUCUUUUCUUAUAAAUGGAAUUAAAUAACAUUGGUUGUUUAUUUUGUUGUAUUUAAGGAAGGAAAUGAAAAGUUUGAAGACAAUAUGAAGAGGAGGAUAACAUAUUCAGUGUGGAAUGUGUUAAUGUAAAAAUAUUGGUCAGACUUUGUCUAUUCGCGGAAACUUAUGGCAUCGUGAAAGUGAUGAUUGUGGAGCAAUUUAAGUGUAGCAUGUAUUCUUGAAUGUCCAAUUUUUUUUUUAAUUAAUCAGAAAAAGUGCAAGGAAGAAAUAGAUAAAGUAGGUGGAAUGUAUACAAAUACAAAUAAGAUAUGAGUGUAUUUAAUUGAUUUAUUUUCAUUACUUUUUUUUUUACCUUUCAGUUUUAGUUUUUACUUAUUGUUUGUCUUACCAUCUAGAGUGAAACCCACUAACAUGCCUAAAGAAUGUGGCCAAAACUAAUUGCUUUGAUUGUAAAUGAAGUAUUAGUUUAUCUGGUCAGCCUAUGGUCUAUCUGAGAUUUAAAUUAUGUAAAUCAUACUGCUUUGUAAAUGUUCCUUGAUAGUUGAUAAAAUAGCUAUUGUAUCAAUUUUCCUUAUAUUUUCAUUAGUUUUAAAUUUUCAACUUCUCAUAUAUUGAUUUAAUCUUUCAAAAGUUAUAAUUGCGUUAAUUCAAUAUUCGAAAACAAAAACAAAAAAAUAUUCGAAGCGCGAACUGAUUCACUAGUGGAGUAUAAAAUAGAAGUAUCAUUUGGCAAUGUGCCUAAACAAUAAGUAAUGUUAUUUUUGCAAAUAAAUAUUUCAAAAUUAUUCAUUUUAUCAAUUUAAAAUCAAAUAAAUAAAAAAAUUAUGGUAAACUAACCAUCAAGAUAGAUUUUGUUAUAAAGAAGAUUGGUCAAAUAUUUUGUCAAAUCAAAUAUGUCAAAGCUAGAUUAAGUGGAAAAAUUACUAGAAUAUUGUGUUUAAGACUUUAAAUUACAUUAUAUUAAUAUAUUCAUUUUUAUUUAUAACAUUAAGUUUUAAAUUACAAAUAUGACAAUGUAUUAAAUACUACACGUUUCUACAUAUUUUUCCUAGCUAUUUUCUUGGGUUAGUGUGUGGGACCCAUAAUUUAUGGUGUAUAUUUUUUAGAUUUUCAAUUAUAACUAUUAUUGAAUACGUUUCUAUAUUUAAGAUAUUUUUUCUCUCUCUUAUUCCUUUUCAAGAAAGUAAAAUCAUUAAUUUAGUUUUAUCAAUUUCAUUGUUAGUUUUUAGGAGCAAGAAGUUAUUCAUUCGUAUUUUUUCGGCAUUGGGUUUGAUUUGUUUCUUUCUUAGUUAUUUUUUUCAAAAUCAUCUCUAAUAAAAAAAUAAAGAAAAUUGUGUGUUUCCUAUGGAUUAUACUCCUUAAAAGUUUACAUCUUUUCUCAUUAAGAAUUUUGGUUAAUCUUCAAACUUUUUUUUUUCAAGAUUGCCUAUAAUUUGAGAUAAAAUUAUAUGUUUCAUUUGACCUGUACGAUAAUAAAUAGAAUAUUAACAAUACUUGUUUGAGAUCAAUUAGUUUCGAGUUGAAAGCAUUCACUUUAUCUUCGGUGAGUGAAUAUGGAAAAAAAAAUCUUACCAUUGGUAAUGAAAAGUAUAUUUCUGUUACCCAUAAUUUGUUUAAAAGGAAGGGUAAGGAGAAAAUUUUAUAUUUAUACAAAUUGAAUAAAUUUGAUGAUUUUUUUUUAUCUUUAUACUUAAUUUUUAAUCCUUAAAGAUUCUGAAAAAUAAUACUUCUCAAAAUGUGGUGUUCUUCGUUUCAGUGUUGGAAUUGAAAGGUGAUAUUGAUAAAAUGUUGGUGUUGUUGUGUUAUAAGAUUAUUAAUUGGAUAAAUAUAUUAUUAUAAAAUAAUUAACAGAUGAUAUAUUAUAUGACAUAAAUUAUGAUUUGAAGUUGGUGUUCAGCCUAUCAGUUUAGCAAGAGUAUUACAUCAUAUUUUAAUCCAACAAAAUACCUUAAUAUGUACCAUUUUAUACAGAAAUCCGUUGAAAUUUUUACAAAGGCACAAACCUUUUUAUAUCGAAAGUUAAUUUUAUACCAUAAUCAAAAUCAACGUUUUGACAAUAAUACCUUUCAGUUUCAACACUAUAAGGAACUAAUUUUGAAAAUAAUACACAUUUUUUAAUUGCUAUUUUUUUGGAUUAGUGUGCUAAUAUUGUGGGACUCAUAAUUUACUAUAUUUACUUUGAUAUUCUAAAUAACAAUUAUAAUUGAAUAUGAUUCUUUAUUUAAAGAUCCUUUUUUGAGGAUGUACGUUUCUUUCUCUCUCUUUUUUUGUUGAUUUUUUGAAUUCAAGUGUUAAUUUUUUAGCAGAGAAUUUAUUGUCUAAUUAAUAGGAAUCCUACCAUUAAACACUUUUCUUAUUUGAUACAAUUAUUCUUGCAAUUUUUCUCUCUCUCUCCAAUUCGGUUUCAAUUCUUUUGUAAAAGAAGUACCAAUUUAUAUUUCAUUAUAUGAAAUACCAAAAUAUAUAAAAUCAUAAAAAAAAUGUUUGCAUACCCUAAUAAUUAUUUCUGCAGACUAAUUCAUAUAUCGAUAAUGUAAUCUUUUAGUUAAUAUUGUAAAAAAAGAAAAAAUAUUAUAUUAUGGUAUAAUAAAUUUGAUUAAACAAGUUUGUACAUGAAUGAUGUACAUAUACUAACACCAAGACAUUUACCAAAAAAAACAUCAUAUACUAACACCAAGACAUUUACCAAAAAAAAAAAAAAAAAAGCUAAAUAUCUAAAUAUAGUCACUGCACAAUCACAUUCACCGAUAUAUAUAUGGUGUUUUCAAUUUAAUUUAGUAUAAAAAAUUGAUUUAUUUUUUGGUACACAAUAUGAUGUAUUUAUAUUAAAACAAUAAUGAUGUUGCUAUACAAAAUAACUUUAACUAUUGAAAUAGUAUAACAAUUUGGUUGUUAUUUUGGUAUGAAAUACACUAACAUCAGUAAUUUAAACAAUAUAAUUAUUUUAAGAUUUCAAUGUAUAUACCUUAAUCCAACCAAAUAUCAUAUACACUACAAAUUACCAAGUUAUUUAACAAUAAUGACGUAUACCACAAACAUAUACACAUACACCAGCAAAGUUGGUGUAUAUAAGUUAUCUAAAAUAUAUCAAAUACACCAACACAUCUACCACAAAAUAAAGAAGCUAAAUAUCUAAAAUAUAUUCACCACACCAUCGGAUACAACACUAAUAUGGUCAGAUUUCAAAAUAACAAGCACGAAAAAGCAUCAAAUUUUGAAUUCAUUAUGUUAACAAAUCAUCAAUUACGCCGUACUUACACAUACACCAACCGAAUUUGGUGUAUAAUAAAUUAUCUAUACUAUAUCAAAUACACCAACACCCAUCACAUAAAACACUACUAUUUUCAGAUCAUAAAAUAACAAUAACGAAAAUUACAAAUAACCAUCACCAAUUUCGACGUGAUUUAUCGACACAUACUUAUUGCACCCCAUCGUCUGUCGUAUUGAAUUAGAAUUGAAACAUUGUUCAUAUCAAUAAUUAUACAAACUUUCAUAAUAGAGGAGGUACAUAGUUUUAAUUUGGUUAAAAUACUUUCUUUUUUUUAUGAAAGAGAAUGUAUAACAAUUUGAGUUAAUUGUGGAAGGUUAAAAAAAAAUGAGAAAAAAUCGUGGGUCAUAAUAAUCUCUCUCCUAAUUUGUUUUCAUUUUCUUUUUAUUAAUAUUAUUUCAUGUGUGCUUAUUUUGUAUACUUAUGUUUUUUGCCCGAUUAAGUCGGUGUUUGACCAUGCGAUAUCAUAUCACGAUAUAAAAGCAUGAGAUGAAAUUAACAUUUGGACAUGUGAUUUCACGUUGAUUUCAAUCAUGAGAUGGAAUCUCAUAUUUUCAAAUAAUUAUGAUUUUGGGAAGUCCAUAUCAUGAUUUGAGACUUUUUUAAAAUAUAAAAAUUGACCCACAAGUUUAUAUUUUAUUAAAAUAACCCCAUAUAAAUCUACUUGCCAUUUAUUUCAUAUGUAAAUGAAAUUUAUAAUCAUAUCAUUACUUUUUAAAAUUUAUUAUUCUCACCAACAUAUUUAGUAUUACUUUAAACCAAUUCAUACUUUAUCAUUUAUUUCAUCAAUUUCAUUAUUUUUUAAACCAAAUUUAUUACUACUACUUCAAUGUUUAAUAAAAAAAAUUAGUUUUCAUCUAUAUAGAGUGAACACAACUGACCACAAUGACUUUGUAAUAAUUUAUUAUGUGAUUUUAUAAAUUUUUGUUUGUUUGGUAAGAUUGAAUAAAUAAUUGGGACUAUAUUAAUAGUUUUACAACUUAUCAGAAAUAUAUAACACAAAAACUCCAAAUCGCAUGUCCAAAUAAAACUUUAAUUUCAUCUUAUAAUUUUAUAUUAUAAUUUCAUAUCAUAAUUUUAUAUUAUGAUUUUAUAUCGCAUGAUUAAACGGCCCUUAGAAUAAGACAUUCCAUUUUAUCUUUCGAUGAAAUUGUUUUUAUUGUUUAAAAAAUUAAAACCGUCAUUACAGUUUUUUCGAAGUGCUUAAACGAUUAAUAUGAUUUAGGUGUCACGACACAAUUCCAACAUUCUUUACAUUUUUUUUUUCUUAUCCUCGGAAUAUGUGUAAAUUUCAUUUGCUUACUAUAAAGUGCCUAUAUAAAGAUGGAAUAGUAUUCUACAAAGUACAUUUUUUAAGAUAUGAAUUUGGUCAUAAUGUAAAAUGAAAACAUGCAUUUAAUGUAGACAUCAAUAAUAUGUAUGUUGAGAUUUAGCUAUCGAGUGAUAAUGAUCCUUAAACUGUUUGCCAAUCGAAUGAUUAAUCAGAUAGUGUAUUAUUGUUAAUUUAUUUUUAUCACUUGAGUUAUCAAUCGUAUGCUUCUACAUAUUCUAUUAUAUUGGAAUUCAAAUAAAAAGUGUGUGUGUAAAAGUUAACAAUUUAUAUAGUUAGCCCAGCUUUCGACUAAAAUGACCAACUUUAGAUAAAUCUAGAAUAAAAAAUUAACUGACGAUAGAUGAAACUAUAGAAACCAACCAACCAAAUAAUUAAACCUCUAUUUCAUUUUACAAAUAAUUGAAGAAGCAUAUUCCUUCCCCAGUUAGAACCCCAAGUUUAAAUAAUUGAAAGUUGUCAUGUUAUAAAGUUUCCAUUUUUUUUGGUUCAAUAAGAAAGUGCCAAAUCGAAAUGUGCCUUGUUGUCUUUGCCAGGUGGAUUAUAGAAAACGGACUGAACCAUCUCUGUCAGAGAUAGAGUCAUGUGAGCUCCAUUUGUUUGUACCUUACCUCAAUCAUGUGAUACCUACACUUGAUCCACCGACACUUGUUAACGUUAAGUUACUUAAUCAUCUAUAGAUGCACCUAGACAAUUUCAUUUCGAACCUCCGAUCAAAAUUUCGUGAGCAAAAAUCGAAUCGAUCAAUAAAUUUAAUAGAAAAAAUGUUAUUGAGUUUUUGUUAUUGAGUUAAUGGGUUCUUAAUGGUUUUAUAAAAAAACAAAUUAUCUGGUUAUUGGUUCGAUAUUGAUUUUUUAAUUUUGGAUUAUUGGAUAAACCGAUAACUCAUUAAGAUAGCUGUAAUUUACUACUUUACCUUUAUAUAAAUAUUGAAUGCUAAUUUGAGUAUCUUAUUAGUUACUACCUUUGUUCAAUGCCUUCAAUUCAAAUUAUUGUCCUAGUUCUUUUAUUUGUGUUACACUUGUAUAGUUUUUUUGUUUUUUUUUAUUUUAUCAUAUUAGUUACUGUUGUUUCUAUUUCAUGAGGAUUCUGUUAAAUUACAUUAUUGUCUUAUCGCGCUAAAUUGUGGAGAAGCCACAUUUUUUUAUUAGUUAACUCGAAACCGAACCAUUAAUGAUAAGUGUAGAAAUCUCAGGUCUAGGAUUAGAGAAAUCAAGGAUCGUAUUGAUGAAAAUAAUGUUGAGUUGCAACCUCCUUAUAUAGGGAGAGAAUUGUAGUGUCCCAAGUUAACUAUACUUAGAAUCCUACUACAAUACCUAUUACUACUAUAAUAAUAAUAAUAAUAAUGCAAUUAUAAAUAAUCUAAUCCUAGUCGUAAUAUAAUCCUAAUCAUAAUAUAAUUAUAGUCAUAAUAUAAUCCUAAUUAAUAUAAGUAGUCUAAUCCUAGUGGGACUCUAAUUCUACAGCAUUGCUAUAAACUCGUCAGCUUCGUUGGACUUGUUCCAAUCAUCAGCUUUCUUCUUCAUCAACACUUGUUGCAGACACGUCAGUCAGCUUCGUUGGACCUGUUCCUUUGACAUGUUCCAAUCGUCAACCUCCUUCUUCUUCAACAAUAAGAACUAAUAAACAAAAAAUCGAUAAAAAAUAUCUUAUUGAUUUAACAUAUAUAAAAAUAAUAAAAUAAUAAAAUAAUAAUAUAUAAAAUCAAAUCGAAUCGACCAAUACACCCUACUCACUUUUAGACAACGAACCUUAAAAAUGAUAAUAACAAUCAAUCAUGGAGCUAGGGGAUUUGAGGGUAAGUAAGCAAAUAGGCAAUAAUUUAGUUGAUUCUAGUUUAAUUCUAGAAGAAUGUUGAAGGAAUUUUUCAAUUCAUAGUUUAAUUAAGUGGCCUAGUAAUAUACUACUAAAUGUUUUUUCUUUCUUUAAUACUCCACCUUAAUAAAAGUAUUUUGGAUGGAGUUUACGUAUUUUAAGGGGAAACUCAACUACUAGUCUAGUCUAGACAUAAAAGCAAGAGUAGUUGUUGAAGGGAUUGAUUGAUAAUCUAUUUUGCCUGCAUGGCCUAAUAUACUACUCCCAACUUUUAUGGCUAAUUUUUUCACUAUGAACAAUUUUUUAUUUUCUUUCUUUGUUCAAUUCAGGUUUAUGCGAUUGAUAUAAACAAAAAAAAAUAAAAAUUAAUAUUGUAAAAGGUGUAAAUAAAAAAGUGGCAUACAAAUGUUAAUUAACAAAAAAUCUCAUGUUUUCAACGGACUUAUAUAAGACAUACUCUCACAGUGAGUCUCACUGUUCACUUUUAUUUAUUUAUUUUAAAUUUUGUGUAUUUUUUAAGAAACAAUGAUUAAUAUGAAUAUUUUAUUACAAUACAUAUGUUAAUUGAUGAUGUAUAGUCUGAAGUUUAGAAAAUGAUUUGAAAAAUAAGUAAUUAAUGUUGAGGGUAAAAUAUAAAAAUAAAUAAAAAAUAACUAUAUAUUUUUUAGCCUAAUAUACUUAAAGUAACAAGUAAAAAUGGGUGCUGAUUUUUAGUAUAUAAGAAAAGUAAAAAUGAAAGCAGAAAGUACUUAGAAGUGGAGAUUUUGAAAAUAUAUAUAUGCUAUUUUCUAAAAAGAACCAUACACAUUCUGAGUAUUUUCAUUUAAAUUCAACUAUAUUACUAGUUCUUCCUUCAAGUUCGAUAAAAAUAUAGAAAAAUACUUUUGUCUGUUGACGAUUAUCUACCUGUUUUCUACGUAUGCUAUGCUCUUAAUUAAAUUAAUAGCUUUGUCCUAAUUUAUUGCAUAAAUACCCUGGGUGGAACAUGUAUUGAAGAUUAUCUCCUUAUCAAACAAAAAUAUUUACAGUCAAAUAAUUUAUAUUUGACCGUAACUAAUUAAUAAGCAUAUAUUUAUCAUCUGUACGUGUAAAUUUUUUUACACCAUAAAAUUUUACUGUGGGCGUAAAGUUUCUAAACACGGUAACAAAAAAAAAGUAGGAGGUAAAACGAAAAACUAGCAGAACAACAAAGUAACGGCCCUCAAGUCCCCACACGCAUGCAAAACUGCUGUAUUAAAUCCAUCCGUUUCCAAGAUCUAUGCUUCAUCGUCUUCUUCUUCUUCAUCAUUUUUUUUUCUCUUAAAAGGAAAAAAGGUUAUUUUUUCCCCUUAAUUGUUGAUGUUAGUUGAGUUCUAGAUCAUCUAAUUUAAUUUCUGGGUGUACCUAGAAACUCAAUUUUCCAUGGGGUUUUCUUGACCUUUUUAUUGAAUGCUUCAAACAGAAAAAAACAUGGAGGUUGCUAGAAUUAGACAAUUGUUGCUCCUUUGGAGUAGAAUCAAAUCUACCCGUGUUGCUCUUGUGGGUGGCAAUCACACCGCCGCUAGGUUUUGUACUCGCUAAAUUCACCUUUUUUUCCGUCGCUGGAUUUCCCCCCCCCCCCCCCCCCCCCCCCCCCCCCCCCCCCCCCCCCCCCCCCCCCCCCCCCCCCCCCCCCCCCCCCCCCCCCCCCCCCCCCCCCCCCCCCCCCCCCCCCCCCCCCCCCCCCCCCCCCCCCCCCCCCCCCCCCCCCCCCCCCCCCCCCCCCCCCCCCCCCCCCCCCCCCCCCCCCCCCCCCCCCCCCCCCCCCCCCCCCCCCCCCCCCCCCCCCCCCCCCCCCCCCCCCCCCCCCCCCCCCCCCCCCCCCCCCCCCCCCCCCCCCCCCCCCCCCCCCCCCCCCCCCCCCCCCCCCCCCCCCCCCCCCCCCCCCCCCCCCCCCCCCCCCCCCCCCCCCCCCCCCCCCCCCCCCCCCCCCCCCCCCCCCCCCCCCCCCCCCCCCCCCCCCCCCCCCCCCCCCCCCCCCCCCCCCCCGUUCUUGUAGCACAAGGUACGAUCAGUUUUUACAGACUCUUCCGAUCGGUUUGUUGUAAAAGCAUGGAUUUUGGUCUUGGGUAUUGCCCCAAAAGAGGGGAAAUCAAGGGGAAUCAUUUUCCCGAGUUGAAAAUUGGGUUGAAUCAAGACGCCGUUUUGAUUAUUAAGCUACCAGAUUCGAGGGCUUUAAGGAUUAUGUCACGGUCUUUGUUCUUUGCAAUGGUUCUUUUCAUAUUGCCGUCAAUUGGGUCCAUACUAAGAGGUUCAUUCGAUGUAAUUGACGAUUCUUAUGUGAAUUCUGAUGGGAGGGACUUCAAUGUGUUGCAUAAUCUUUUUCGCGAUUUGGCAGAUGAAGGCCUUGUUAAGAAGGGGCAUAAAGGACUUGUUUUGAGUUCUGAGAAUGAUCAUUUGGUCAAAGAUUUGGAAUUGUUGAAUGACAAUGUGGUUGAUUUGGUGCUUGAUUCGGAUAUGGAUUACAAGAAUUCGAUUCCAAAUGAGACAUUCGAUUUUGCAAUUGCUCAGACUGAAUGGAACAGUAAGUUCAUUGAUCGGGUGCUCAAGAUUGGUGGCAUUGUUAUAACUCAACUCACCAAUGAUCCUUUAGCUGAGCUUAAAGCUCUAGCAAACUACAGAAUCGUGUAUAUUCGACGAUUUGACAAGACUUUGGUGGGAGUUAGGAAAACUGGGGUACGAAAUGCUGAGCUGAAUUCACAGAAAAAGGACAUUGUUUGUGGAAGCACACCUGAGGCUAAGAAAGUUGCAUUGAAAGGAUUAGAGGAUGUGUUGCUCGAACCGCCAAAAAGGGCAUUGCUGAAAUCAUUUUCAAGGAAGAUGAAGUUUCUUCCUGAGUUGUUAGGUGAUUCUCUUGAGAAUUACCCUCGAAGAGUCUUCAUUUCUGAUGAGAAAAAUGGGGUAACAGAAUGGUUUAAGAGGAGCUACCCUGCAAAUAAUCAAGAUUUCGAGAUUUACAACUUGGAUGUUGAAAUCCAAGAGUCAGAGCAAUCAGGGGAUGGAGUAGCCUUAGUUGGGGCAGCAGAAUGGUUGAGCAAAAAUGUGAAGGAAGAGGACUAUGUUGUGAUGAAGGCAGAAGCAGAAGUGGUGGAGGAAAUGAUCAAGAAGAAAGCAAUAUGUUUGGUAGAUGAGUUGUUCUUGCACUGCAGAAACCAAUUGGAAGAAGUUGAUAAUGAUGAUGAUGAAGAGGAAAAUGGAAGCCAAAAGAGGGCUUAUUGGCAAUGUUUGACAUUGUAUGGGAAGUUAAUAGAUGAAGGAGUUGCAGUGCACCAAUGGUGGAGUUGAAUCUAAGACACCUGAUUUAGCUUUGUCCUUUAUCAGUCUCUUGUUAUUGUUGCUCAUUUCAUGUAUCAUGUGGUCAGUGGUCAUCAGUGGCUUUGGCUUUCCUGUUUGAGCCAUUUGUUGUUUAAUUCUACUUUGUUUCUGUUGGCAUGAAGACUGUUGUGUGAUUAAUUUAAUGUUUUUCAUCUUCUAUCCUUUUAUUUAAAAGUUGGGAUCUUUGGCAUCUUCAUAUAUAUAUAUUCCUAUUUGCUACAUGUAUUAAAAUAAAGGAAGGGAAUGAUUAACAGGGUCCAUUAAAUCAUGUUGGAAUAAAAACAUUUACAAGUGAAUUUGUAGCGCAGUGUGAUCAAGUGAAACAAUGAUUACUCUGUGCGCAACAUUUAUAUACUCUCCGUCUCAUAUUAGUUGUCCAUUCUUAUUUUUACAUUGAAGAAAUCACUACUAAUAAAAACAGUUUUACUAAUUUACCCUUAAGAAUUUAAAAGUAUGAAGUUCUAGUCAGAAAUAUUGUGUAUCCCUUUACAUUGUCUCUGACUCUUGACCAUUGCUUACCUCAUGAACUUAUUUUAAAGGUUGACUUAGACCUAAGUUUUAAUUUAUUAACAUUACAUUAGAUCCUCAUCCAUUCUCAAUUCUUUAUUUUAUUUCUUAUGUGGUACUUGGAACUUUAUGUUAUGUGGUCCUCUUCUUAUUGUCUCAUUUAUUUAGUGCUGUGAACUACCUUUUGCAAGUCCACUUUUUUUAACAAUAUCCAAAUUAAAUUGAUUUUUAAAAAUUGUAGGUGACAUUGUGGGUGAGGAAUGUGAAAUGAAAACAGUUUUGAACGGCCUUUAUUAGUUUUUCUUCCUUAAACAGAACCCCAAUAGACUCAACUUGGAAAUGUUGGGUUAGAUUAUGUAUGUUUUUCAUAAGUAUAUGAUAAUGAAGGUAGUAGUAUUGAAAGCUUAGAUACAUAAAUAACAACAAACAUUAAGCAACAAUUGCUUCACUAUAUAAGCAAUUUAAUUUAAACAAUAGAAACACAUAAUUAGAAGUUAAUUGCAUCAUCAGAAGAUAUGAAGUCACAUUUCAAGGAGUAGUGGUUUGUGCAGGAACAUUGGGAUCAGCUGGAGUGUUGGGGAAUGAGGGAAAUGGAAAAUUAGGCAGGCCACCACCAAAGCCAGUUGAUGGAGUAGGAAAACCACCAAAGCCAGUUGAUGGAGUAGUAGGCAUAGGGAAUGAGGGGAAACCACCACCAGUUGAUGGACUAGGAAAACCUGGAUUAGUAGGCAUAGGGAAUGAGGGAAAACCACCCAUUUGCUGAAGACGCCGAGCUGCUGUCGCUUCCCCAAUUGACAUUACUGAUACAACAAGCACAACAACAGCUAUCAUGACAUUGAUCUUGGAUGAAGAAGCCAUUUUUGUUGUAAGAAAAUACUCUUUUUGUUAAUGUUGAUUUGGUCUGCAGGGUAACUUAUAUAGAAUAUGGGAGUAUUAGUACGUAUGUAUGGGAGUAGAAACAUAAUGAGCAUUCAAUUUGUUCACCCUCCUAUGUGGUUGAGAAUAUCAAUCCCUCUCUCCUUAAUUAGUUUCAAUUCCAUUAUUCUCUUUGACUACGAAUCAUUACUCCCUCAGUUUAACAUUACUUGUCUGCAUUAUUAAAAUUAUCUGUUCCAAAUGAGUAAUUUACAAAAUCAUCUUAUUUUAUCCUUAAAAUUAUUUCUUUUUGAAGUAUAAACAGAUCACCUGCAUAAAUAACGUAAACUUACAAAAAAAGUCUUGUUUAAUCUUUUUCAGGUACACAUUUAGUUAAAAGAGUAAAUUCAUUAUCUGAAUAAGACACAUAAAUUGCAUUGAAAAUGGUUUAAAAAAUAAAUAAGUAAAAAAAAUAAAAUACUCUUUUAGUUUAUAAUUUUUUUUUAUAAGGCAAGUAAACAGAAAAAAAGUGGACAAAUAAUAUGCGAAAAAUGAUUAUAUUUGUCUCUAUACUUUUAGGAAAAAGUUAUAUGUAUGCCAUUUGAUAUAUUUUUUUGAUAUAUUUAUUCUUACCAUAUUAACUAUUUGACCGUUAACUCUCAUGUCCUCAUCAUUAUUAUUAUCUUAAGUGACAUCUACGUGACACUUAUGUAGAUAUAAUUUUUAUCUGAAUUAAAAAAAUACACACAACUGAGUCUAAUAUGGUAAGAUACCUAUUUAUUGCCUUUGUUUUGGUUGUCAAAAACCACCUGUUUUUUGGUGGGUGGGAGGGUGGAUGUGUGGGGUGUUUCUCCGGUCAGUUUUUUUUAUUUUAAAAAAAGUAAAAUAAAAUUAGGGAUAGGGGAAAAGAAUUACAAAUUACAAUGUGGGAAAUCAAACCCUCACCGUGGAAGUUUAGGUAACUAACCAACUAAGCAUACUCCAAUCAAUGUAUUUUCUAUUUAUUAGCAUUAAUUAAAAAGAGCUGUUUAACCUCCAACUUACACCGAUCUUCAUUUUUUAAUUUUUUUUCCAUAUUAUUUACCUUCCUUUAUUUAUUUACACUUCUUCAAUUUGUUUUUAGCACUUGUUUAUAUAUGUAACAUGAACUUCACAUUAUUCUUGUCCAGUGUAAUGAUCCCUCCAUUUGAUCACAAAAUCAAGAAAAUAUUUAUUUUUUUUCUCCCAAUUUUAUGCUUAUUUAAAUAGUAGCUUUUGUUAAAGAACUACUCUUUUUUCAAGACAUUUAAUUAAGGAUAAAUUAAUAAAAAUAUUAAUUUUUUUAAUGAAUAUGUCCAAGCUAAAAAUAGUCAUAUUAUGAAACGGAGGGAAUAGAUACACAUGGAAUGCUAAGAUUUACGUUUAUUUAUUAAAAAAAUAUAAGUGAUCUUGACACUUGGUAAAAGUAUAUACUUUAUCAAGUAUCAACUGACAAAUCAAUCAUUCAACUAAAUUUUUUCUCCGCAUUAAUCUAAUCUGAUCUCAAUGAAUAUUGCAAAACAAUUGUAAAUUAAAUUUUGAUUAUGUUAAUAUGAGAUUCUAGGUAAAAUUCAAAAAGAAAUCAUUCUUUUUAUACUGAUUAAAAAAAAUAGAGUCACGUAAAUUGAAGGAGAAUAUACAAGUCCGAAAUGCUAAACUAAACAUGUAUCGAUGGUAGUUUAAUUUGGAGUAGGAAUUUAAUCGAUACAGCUUUAAUUUAUUGAGAUGAAUCCUUUGGUCUCUUAAAUGUGGCUAGCUGUUAUUAUUCGAUGAGCGUUGAUGCCAUUAAAUUGGCUUUAACAACAACCAAAAGGCUGUCCAGAAAGGAACAGAACAGACUAAAGAAAAGAUAAAAUGAAAAACAGUGACACCAGUCGCAAUAAGAAAUUAACUUUUCACUGGUUCGAAUAAUUCAGAUUCACAUUAGGUAACCUUUUAUAUCAAGUAAUCUUCUAUUUUUAGAGUUUGAACUCGAUGCAUCUCGAUAAUAAACAUAAAUAGUUUUCAACCGUCCCACCAACCACAUCAAUAGGUAGAAUAUAAAUCAAAUUUCAUACAACUUUUAAAGUUGUCUUUCCAGCAGUAUUAUUCAUGUUCUAAAGCUCAAUUGCUUCACAGGAUUUGGUUAAAUUACUGUAGACCAACCACUAUCUGCAUCUUAUAACUGGAUCAAGCUAUGCACAUAAUUGAAUGAUCCUAAUACAUACAAUUAUGUUAUGUUUAGACUUUAGUUUUUUGUUUUUUUAUACAUAUUUUCAUUUUUACACAUAAGAGAUUUGAAAAAAAUCUUUUUCUUUUGUUCAAUUUAUAGGUAAUCAUACGAGAUCAUUUUCACGUUUACAUGAUUUCUAAACAUUGUUUGGUUGAAAAAGGGUUGUACGUACAAUAAGGACAUCUCACGAAUUUCUUGGACAAGCUAAUUAAUUAGAGUAGUACUAUUUGUAUCUUACUAUUAUUUUCUCCCAAAUUCUCCAUUUCACAUUAAAGUAUCCAAAAACAGUUAUGCAGUAAGCUUUAUAGCACCAAAAAUUUAUUAGUCUCUCAUGAUUAUUAUGUCUUCAAUUAUUAUCAAAGAAUAAUAAUAGUAGCACGUAUAAUGUAAGGAAGAAGAAAAGUAGCAGUUGGGUGAGUGGUUAAUGAAUUAAUUAGAGCACGGAAAUUAUAAGCUGAGUUACUUCUUGUACUAAAAAGAUUUUAGUUUAUACAGUACUGUAUUUGUUGAACAAUAUGGGAACAAUGUCGAAGCAACAUAAGAAAGAAUUAUACAUACACAUUCCAAAAAAAAUCAUGUACCCAUACUUGUACAUAUAAGCAAAGCGUAUGUAAAUAAAUAUGUUGGGAGAAACAGAGAGAAAAAAUCUGUUGAAGCAAAGAAUACAGAAAUCACGUGAUUUGUUAAAACAAGACAAACAAUUUGUAACGCAGAAAGUAGACAAUUUACUUCAUUGAACCACUCACCUAUUGUAAGUUGCAUUGAUUUGGUGUAAUCAUUCGCUAUAACAAUAGAGGAAUUCGGAUAUUAGUUAAGAAUUAUUUAAUUUUAGCAUCUACAGUUUUAGCAUCCAAAAUCUUCGUACUUAGAAACUAUAGCAUCGAGAUAUGUUGACUAAGAAAAAACAAACAUCUAACAGAGUGAAAACAAUGUAAGCUGGCUUAUAAAAAAAAAUUGAAGAAAAAGAAAGUUCUUUACUUUAUUUGAUAGCAAAUUUCAGUUUUGUACAAUUUUUGAGUAGAUAAUAUGUGGAUACUAAAAUAAUCCAUCAUUCAACCCAUUUUUAUUCACAUAAAACACCGACAAAUCGAAUAUUUUAUCCAUUCACAUCUAACCCAUUCUCAACUCAUUCAUAUGCGAUCUAAUACGUCCAUAAGCCGGCACAAGUCAUGACACACAUAUAAUUCCAUAGUUACUCACGGAGAACUUGACACUGUUGGUUUAGAAAGUUUUGGAAUUUCUGUCUUUAUCACAUUUGGAAUCUCAAGAUUUGAAACAACUGGUAAUUCGGGCUUUGUAAAAAUUGGGAUCUCAGGUUUUGGGGUAGUUGGUAGCUCACGCUUUGGCACACUUGGUAUUUCAGGCUUAGAGACACUAGGAAUCUCGGGUUUUGGGACUUCUGGAAUCUCUGGCUUUGAAAGAUUAGAGGUCUCGGGUUUUGAAAAAUUAGGUAUGUCUGGCUUUGAGAAACUAGGAGUCUCGGGCUUUGGAGAACUUGGAGUCUCGGACUUUGGGGAACUUGGAGUCUCGUGCUUUGGGAAACUUGGAGUCUUGGGCUUUGGAGAAUUUGGGCUCUCGGGCUUUGGGUAACUUGGAGUCUCGGACUUUGGCGAACUUCGUGUCUCGGACUUUGGGGAACUUGGCGUCUUGGAUUUUGGAGAACUUGGGGUCUCCGACUUUGAGAUAGUAGGAGUCUCGGGCUUUGGAGAACUUGGGAUCUCAAACUUUGGGGAACUUGGCAUCUCAGGCUUUGGGAAACUUGGAGUCUCGGGCUUUGAGAGACUAGGAGUCUCUGGCUUUGAGGAACUUGACGACUCGGGCUUUGAGAAAGUAGGAGUCUCGGGAUUUGGAAAACUUGGGGUCUCAGGUUUGGGGGAACUUGGAAUUUUCGGCUUUGGGAAACUUGGGGUCUCGGGCUUGGGGGAACUUGGAGUCUCAGGCUUUGAGAAAGUAGGAGUCUCGGGAUUUGGAAAACUUGGGGUCUCAGGUUUGGGGGAACUUGGAAUUUUCGGCUUUGGGAAACUUGGGGUCUCGGGCUUGGGGGAACUUGGAGUCUCAGGCUUUGAGAAAGUAGGAGUCUCGGGAUUUGGAAAACUUGGGGUCUCAGGUUUGGGGGAACUUGGAAUUUUCGGCUUUGGGAAACUUGGGGUCUCGGGCUUGGGGGAACUUGGAGUCUCAGGCUUUGAGAAAGUAGGAGUCUCGGGAUUUGGAAAACUUGGGGUCUCAGGUUUGGGGGAACUUGGAAUUUUCGGCUUUGGGAAACUUGGGGUCUCGGGCUUGGGGGAACUUGGAGUCUCAGGCUUUGAGAAAGUAGGAGUCUCAGGCUUUGAGAAACUUGGUGUCUCAGGCUUUGCAGAACUAGGAGUCUCAGGCUUCGCUAAACUUGGCAUCUCAGGCUUUCGGGAACUUGGGGUCUCGGGCUUUGAGAAACUAGGAGUCUCAGGAUUUAAGGAACUAGGAGUCUCAAGCUUUGGAAAACUUGGGGUCUCAGACUUUGGGGAACUUGGGGUCUCGGGCUUUAAGAAAGUAGGGGUCUUAGGUUUCUAGAAACUAGGAGUGUCAGGUUUUGAAGAACUUAGAGUCUCAAAAUUUGGAGACUUUGGGGUCUCAGGCUUUGAAAAACUAGGGGUCUCAGGUUUUGAGAAAGUAGGAGUCUCAGGCUUUGGGGAACUAGAAAUCUCGGGCUUUGAGAAAGUAUGAGUCUCAGGCUUUGAGAAAGUAGGGGUUUCUGGCUUUGGAGAACUAGGUGUCUCAGGCUUUGAGAAAGUAAAAGUCUCAGGUUUUGAGAAACUAGGGCUUUCAGGCUUUGAAAUAUCAGGGGUCUCGAGCUUUGGAGAAUUAAGGGUCUCUGGCUUUGGGGAACUAGGAGUCUCAGGCUUUGAAAAAAUAGGAAUCUCGGGUUUUGGAGAACUGGGGGUCUCGGGCAUUGAGAAACUUGGGAUCUCAGGCUUUGAGAAGGUAGGGGUCUUGGUCUUUGGUGAACCAAGGGUCUCGGGCAUAGAGAAACUUGAAGUCUCGGGCUUUGAAAUACUAGGGGUCUCAGGCUUUGAGGAGGUAGGGGUCUUGGCCUUUGGUGAACCAAGGGUCUCGGGCUUGGAGAAACUUGGAGUCUCAGGCUUUGAGAAAGUAGGAGCCUCAGGCUUUGAAAAUGUAGAAGUCUCGAGCUUUGGAGAACUAGGGGUCUCGGGCUUUGAGAAACUAGGAAUCUCAGGUUUUGAGAAACUAGGGGUAUCAGGCUUUGAAAAAGUAGGGGUCUCAGGUUUUGAGAAACUAGGAGUUUCGGAUUUUGAAAAUCUAGGUGUUGCAGGCUUUGAAAAACUAGGAGUUUCGGGCUUUGAGAAACUAGGAGCUUCGGGCUUUGAAAAACUAGGAGCUUCGGGCUUUGAAAAACUAGGGGUCUCAGGCUUUGAAAGACUAGGGGAAGUGGAGAAACUGGGGGUAGCGGGAAUUGAGAAACUAGGAGUUUCGGAUUUUGAGAAAUUAGGAGUUUCGGAUUUUGAGAAACUAGGUAUUUCAGGCUUUGAGAAACUAGGAGUUUCGGGCUUUGAAAAACUAGGUGUUUCGGGUUUUGAAAAACUAGGGGUUUCAGGCUUUGAAAGACUGGGGGAAUUAGAGAAACUUGGGGUAGCAGGCGUUGAGAAACUAGGGGUAGUGGGUGUUGAGAAACUUGGGGUAGAGGGCAUUGAAAAACUAGGAGUAGCGGACGUUGAGAAACUAGGAGUCUGAAGAAGGUGAUGUGCUGUUAUAGUAAUUAUCAUGUGGUUAUGCAUGAUAUAGAUAAAUGCAAGCAAUAAGAUGGAGGACAAGUUACAAUGCUGAGCCAUUUUUCGGUAAAUGCAACAAGCUUGGAGAAAAAUGUGGUAAGAGCAAUGCAAAUAAAAUUUUGAUAUUUUAAUAAUUUUCCAUUUAGCUAUAUAUAGAUUUUUAAAGGCAUCUAAAAGGGAGAAUUUCAAUAUUUGAUACGUUAGUUGACCUAUUUAUCUGCCAAUAUUAUAGUAUCUAGAAUUUGUAUUGUGAUAGCAAUAGUAUAGUAUCUUGAAUAUUGCUAGAAUAAAGGAAGCAAACAUUUGUUAAGCUAUAAUCACUUCCGAAAUUUCAAUCACAAUGUCUUUUAUGUCCUUUUUUAUUCGUAGCUUUUCUCUUUGAAUAAAUAAUAAUAAAAAAAAGUGGGUAUAAAAGAGACACAUCAUAUCUUAAUCAAACAUAUUUGAAUUUGAAAUGUAUACCACUCUAUCACGAUAAUAAUGACAAUGUUCAUUUCUCCUUGUAAUAACUAAAAUCAUUACACUUUUCACUAAAUAUCUUUAAAAUCAACAUAUAAACUCCCUUAGUCUUAUUCUUUAAGGCAUUAUGAUUAAAUAUCACAUCAUAAUAUUAAGUUGAUUUAAGUAUUUAUAUUAUUACUAAAAAUAUUAAAAUAAUUAUUGAUAAUUUAAUUUGAUGGAGAAAACAUUACAUUAUAUAUGAAUAUACUUAAAAGUUAUAAUCAACUAUCUACAAAAUAAUAAUAUUUUAAUAAAAUAUGACAACGUUUGAGACACCAGUUAAAAGAAAUAAAAAGUUAUACUAUAACUUGGAACAAAUAAAUAUUUUUUAUUAUUCUUUAAUUAGAUGUCUUAAGUUCAAGCUUCAGGAAUGGAGUCACAUUUGGUGGCACAAAUCAAGAGUUGCAGGGUGACAAAGCAGGCAAGGGCAAAUGCAAAAUGAAAAACUAGAUUCAUCUGAACCUAGUAAUUUUGUCGUGAAGUAUAUAUGUAAAAAGAUCACUACCUGUUCCAGGUCAGUCUCUCAAAGAAAGAAUCGCAAUAAAUAAUUGGUCAGAACUCAUACUUUUAAUUUACAUAUCAAAUAUGUUUAUUUAAUAUUAAAAGUCUUAAAAAUUGAACCAACAAAACAUAAAUCUACAAAAAUAGAUGUCCAACAACUGAUGAGAAAAAAAUCUAGUAUAAUCUACAGAAAUGGCAUAAGAAAAAUAUAACUACAUUGUAAAUUCAUAUAUUAAGAAAAUUGGACGCUCAAAUUUGAAAGAUUUAUCACAUUUUUAGAGAGUUAAAAAAAAAAAAUAUUAAUCAGUUAACAAACACAACACUCUAUUGAGGUAUAUUUCAUAUUUGUGGAACAAAAUAUUCAACCGGCACUUUUAAUAUAUGCUAAUUUAUCCUUUAAAUCACUCUUGAUAUGUGAUGGAAGAAAGUGGUUACCAUUACUAUGAAUAAAUAAUAAAUUAAAAGCCGACAGGGAAGAGUAGCCAAACAAUGUUUAACAUUUGUUUUAGUUAUUGCAGUGAUUUUUAACAUAAUAAAUUUCUACUUUUAGAAUGAAUUUGAAUUUAAGUUUUUAUUUAGUUUGUUGAGAUAUUUUAGUUUUUUUUUUUUAAAAAAAGAAAGUAAACUAGACAAAUCCUUUGUUUUAAAUUGACCCAUUCUACGUUUAAACCUUUUUUUUAGUCAUGACAAACAUUUUCUCUUUAAAACUUUUCACUGAUGAAAACUAUCAAAUUUGAUUAGUGAAAAUGAGAUGAUAUUUUGAAACUUAUGAUUUGUGAAUGUUGCAAUGGAAGAACGUUCUCUGCAAUUUCUAUCAUUGUCCAAAUUAAAGUAUUAUUCAACCAGCGCAACACUUAAUUCAUCAUUUCCAUGCUUUCGAAAUGUGAUGGGAAAAAAUGGUUCAGUUGAUCGAUAAACAACGACGAUUUAGCAGAAACAGAGAUCAUGUCCGGCCAAUGAUAUAUAGUAAAAUAGCUCAAUCAUAGCUUUACUACACUGUAUAUAUAGAAUAUACAUGUAACACUUAUAUAGUAUAAUGACAGAUAAAACAUGCUAUACAUCGAAUUUAUAGUGCUGAUGAAUUUAUCGAAAAUAUGCUGAAUUGUGGAGAUUUUUUUUUUUAAUUCAAAGAUCUCUAAUUUUAGCAUCCAAGAACUUCGUACCAAAAGUUAGAAACUAUAAUUUCUAGAUAUGUUGACUAAGAAAAAACAAACAUCUGAAAAACAAUGUAAGUUGGCUUAUCAAAAAAUAAAAUUACAGAAAAAGAAAGUGUACUUCACUUUAUUUGAUAGCAAAUUUCAUUUUUGUACAAUUUAUGAGUAGAUAAUAUGUGGAUACUAAAAUCAUCCAUCAUUCAACUCAUUUUUAUUCACAUAAAAUACCGACAAGUCAAAUAUUUAUCCAUUUGCAUCUAACCCAUUUUCAACUCAUUCAUAUGCGAUAUAAUCCUUUGUUAGCCGGCACAAGUCAUGACACAUGAAUAACUCCAUAGUUACUCAGGGAGAAGUUGACAAUGUUUGUUUAGAAGGUUUUGGAAUUUCAGGAUUUGAGAAAGUAGGAGUCUCAGGCUUUGAGAAAGUAGGGGUUUCAGGCUUUGAAAAACUAGGGGUCUCGAGCUUUGGAGAAUUAGGGGUCUCUGGCUUUGGGGAAUUAGGAGUCUCAGGCUUUGAAAAACUAGAAAUCUCGGGUUUUGUAGAACUAGCGGUCUCGAGUAUUGAGAAACUUAGGGUCUCAGGCUUUGAGAAAGUAGGAGUCUCAGGCUUUGAUAAAGUAGGGGUCUCGGGCUUUGAGGAAGUAGGAGUCACAUGCUUUGAGAAUGUAGGAGUCUCGGGCUUUGAAACACUAGGGUUUUCAGGCUUUGAGAAGGUAUGAGUCUCGAACUUUUGUGAACCAGGGGUCUUGGGCAUAGAGAAACUUGGAGUCUCGAGCUUUGGAGAACUAGAGGUAUCAGGCUUUGAGAAACUAGGAGUCUCGGGCUUUGAGAAACUAGGACUCUCAGGUUUUGAGAAACUAGGGGUCUCGGGCUUUGAAAAAGUAAGGGUCUCUGGUUUUGAGAAACUAGGGGUUUAAGGUUUUAAAAAAUUGGAGUUUCAGACUUUGAGAAACUAGGAGUUUCUGGCUUUGAGAAACUAGGGGUUUCAGACUUUGAGAAAGUAGAAGUUUCUGGCUUUGAGAAAGUAGGAGUUUCUGGCUUUGAGAAACUAGGAGUUUCAGGCUUUGAGAAACUAUGUGUUUCAGAUUUUGAAAAACUAGGGGUCUCAGGCUUAGAAAGACUAGGGGUCUUAGGCUUUGAAAGACUAGGGGAAUUGGAGAAACUUGGGGUAGCGGGCGUUGAGAAACUAGGGGUAGUGGGCGUUGAGAAACUAGGGGUCUUGGGUUUUGAAAAACUAGGAAUUUUGGGCUUUGAGAAACUAGGUGUCUCAGGCUUUGAGAAACUAGGAGUUUCAGGCUUCGAGAAACUAGGUGUUUCAGGUUUUGAGAAACUAGGGUUCUCAGGCUUUGAAAGACUGGGGGAAUUAGAGAAACUUGGGGUAGCAGGCAUUGAGAAACUGGGGGUAGUGGACGUUGAGAAACUUGGGACAACGGACGUUGAAAAACUAGGAGUAGCGGGUGCUGAGAAACUAGGGGUCUGAAGAAGGCGACGUGCCGUUAUAGUAGUUAUUAUGUCAUCAUGCAUAAAGUAGAUAAACGCAAACAAUAAGAUGGAGGACAAGUUGUAAUGCCGAGCCAUUUUUCUGCUGAUGCAAGAAGCUUAGAGAAAAAUGUGGUAAGAGAAAAUAAUUUUUUUAUAUUUUAAUUGGUUUUCAUUUAGCUAUAUAUAGAUUUUUAAAGGCAUGUAAAAUGGAGGAUUUCAAUAUUUGAUACGUUGGUUGUCCUAUUUAUCUGUCAAUAUUAUAGUAUCUAGAAUUUGUAUUAUGAUAGCAAUAUUAUAGUAUCUUGAAUAUCACUACAAUAAAGGAAUGCUCAGAUUUACUAGCUUAUUUGAGAUUAUUAAGGAAGCAAACAAUUGUUAAACUAUUUACUAAUCACCUUUAAAUUAUCAAUCACAAUGUCUUUUAAUUAUGUAAUUUCUUUAUUUCUAGCUUUUCUUUUAGGAUAAAAUUAAAAUAAAAGUGGGUAUAAGAGAGACACAUCAUAUUUUAAUCAAACAUAAUUGAACUUUACAUGCAUAUCACUCUAUCACGAUAAGAAUGACAAUGUUGAUUUCUCCUUGUAAUAACUAAAAUCAUUACACUUUUCACUAAAUAUCUUUAAAAUUCAACAUAUAAACUUCCUUGGUCCUAUUUUAUAAGACAUUAUUUGAUUGAAUAUCGCGUCUUGAUGUUGACUUGAUUUAAGUAUUUAUAUUAUUACUAGAAAUAUUAAAAUAAUUAUUGAUAAUUUAAUUUGAUGGAGAAAACAUUACAUUAUAUGAAUAUACUUAAAAGUUGUAAUCAACUAUCGAUAAAAUAAUACUCCAUAUUUUAGUAAAAUAUGAUAACAUUUGGGAGUAUUGGGACGCCCAGUUAAAAGAAAUAAAAAGUUGAUUAUAACUUGGAACAAAUAAACAAUACUUAUAUUGAUUGCAGACAAAAUUAGACUUUGUAUGGAACAAUAGUGAUAGAAAGACUAGCUACCAACAAGAUAUCGAUCAUCAAUAUAUCAUCGUGGUAGAGACAUGGAGGGGAAUACAUACUUAUUAAUCCUUGAUCAGAUUUCUUAAAUUCAAGCUUUGGAAGUGGAGUCACCUUUGGUGGCACAAAUCAUGAGUUUCAGGGUGACAAAGAAGGCAGGGGCAAAUGCAACAUGAAAAACUAGAUCUGAACUUAGUAAUUUUGUUGUGGAGUUCAUGUGUUAAAAGAUCACUAAAAUCACAAUAAAUAAUAAGCCAAAAAGACUAGUACAAUCCACAGAAAUGGCAUAAGAAUAAUAUAACUACACUCGAAAGAUUUAUCACAUUUUUAGAGAGUUGAAAAAAAUGGUAUCAAUCAGUUAACAAACACAACACUCUAUUGAGGUGUAUUUAUGGAACAAAAUAUUCAACCGGCACUUCAACAUAUGCUAAUUCAUCCUUUAAAUCAUACUCUUGAAGUGUGAUGGAAGAAAGUGGUUACUAUUACUAUAAAUUAUAAAAGAAAAACUGAGAAGGAAGAGUAGCCAAAUAAUGUGUUAACAUUUGUUUUAGUUAUUGCAUUAAUUUUUAACAUAAUAAUAAGUUGUUACUUUUAGAAUGAAUUUGAAAUAAAUUUACUUGCUACUCAUAAUAACUACAACAUGAAAAGAAUAUGCAAUUUAUCGUCUUAAAUAUUAACUUGCAUUGUGCAUUUAGUUUCAAGAAAUUUAAACACUCAAUGAGUCAUUUGGAAGGUAAUUACCAAAACAUUAAUCUUGGCAUUGACAGCUUGAAGAGGUGUACUCUAACAAAAUUACAUGUUAGAAACUUCUUUUUAUAAACAUAGUAAAUGAGUACACCAAAAAAAUUUAUAGUGAAAUUUAGAGUGCUGAUGAAUUUUUUGAAAAUACGUUGAAUUGUGGAGAUUUUUUGUAGUGAAGUUUUGGAGUCCCAAAAUGUGCAUAAUAUGUGCUUUAAUGUGACAAUUACAGUGCUGAAAUGUCAACAAAUCUUUAAUCAUUUUACAUAAUAGUAUAGUGUAUGCUGUGAAGUUAAAAUAUUCAAUUCUUUGUGUACACAAGAAUAGGAAAAAAAUGAUGCACAAUUAUUUUUUAAUAGAUCAUGCAAUAUUGAGAAGACAUUAUAUAAAGAAAAAAAUGUUACCAUCAGAAAACACACGUGCAUUAGAAGAUAAAAUUGAUCAAAAAAUACGAUAUUUGCAAUAACUCAUCAUAGCCUUUUGAGAUAUGUGCUAAUGUCGAAUCUCUGCAUUUAUGUUCAAAAAUAUUGCAAUGAUCUUUAAGUUAUUUCUAUUAUUCGGAUAUUAGUUGAGAAUUAUUAAUAAAGUCAUCAUGUGGGUAAUUACCAUUAUAAAAUUCCUCAAGUUUUUGUUGUCACUAUGUGCGUAUUAUUUAUUUUGUUUCAAAGUAACUGAACACCAAUAUAUAAAGUAUAUAUAAUGUAACCUUUUGUAGUUUAAUUCAAUGAUCUCUAAUUUUAGCAUCUACCGUUUUAGCAUCCAAAAACUUCGUACCAAAAGUUAGUAACUAUAGCUUCUAAAUAUAAUAAUAUUGACUAAGAAAAAAUAAACAUCUAACAAAGUGAAAAGCAAUGUAAGUUGGCUUACCAAAACAAAAAAUUAAAGAAAAAGAAAGUGCUUCACUUUAUUUAAUAACUAAUUUCAAUUUUGUACAAUUUAUGAGUAGAUAAUAAGUGGAUAUUAUAAUAUCAUCCAUCAUUCAACCCAUUUUUAUUCACAUAAAAUACCGUCUAGUCGAAUAUUUUAUCCAUUCGCAUCUAACCCAUUGUCAACUCAUUCAUAUGCAAUCAAAUUCGUCUGUUAGGCAGCACAAGUCAUGACACAUGAAUAACACCAUAGUUACUCAUGGAGAAGUUGACAAUGUUGGUUUAGAAAGUUUUGGAUUUUCUGUCUUUAUCACACUAGGAAUCUCAGGAUUUGAAACAACUGGUAAUUCAGGCUUUGUAAAAGUUGGGAUCUCAGGUUUUGGGGUAGUUGGUAGGUCACGCUUUGUCACACUAGGUAUUUCAAACAUAGAGACACUAGGAGUCUCGAGUUCUGGGGCUGUUGGAAUCUCGGGCUUCUAGGAAUUAGAGGUCUCGGGUUUUGAAAAACUAGGAGUCUCAAAAUUUGGAGAACUUGGGGUCUCAGGCUUUGGAGAAUUUGGUGUCUCAGGCUUUGGAGAAUUUGGUGUCUCAGGCUUUUCGGAACUAGGAGUUUUGGGUUUUGGAAAAAUUGGGGUCUCGGGCUUUGAGAAACUUGGGGUAUCGGGCUCUGGGAAAUUAGGUGUAUUGGGCUUUGGAGAACUUGGAGUCUCAAGCUUUGGGAAUUUUGGAGUCUCGGUCUUUGGGGAACUUGGAGUCUCGGGCUUUGAGGAACUAGGAGUCGGAAACUUUGGAGAACUUGAUGUCUCGGGAUUUGGCGAACUUGGUGUCUCGGGAUUUAAAAAACUAGGAGUCUCGGGCUUAGAAAAGCUAGGGGUCUCGGGCUUUGAGAAACUUGAGGUCUCGGGUUUUGAGGAACUUGGGGUCUCGGGCUUUGAGAAAGUAGGAGUCUCGGGAGUCGAGAAACUUGGAGUCUCGGGCUUUGGAGAACUUGGGGUCUCAGGUUUUGAAAAAAUAGGAGCCUCGGUCUUUGUAAAACUUGGAGUCUCGGGCUUUGAGAAAUUAGGAGUCUCAGGCGUAGGGGAACUUGGCAUCUCGGGCUUUGAGAAACUAGGAGUCUCUGACUUUGAGAAACUAGAGGUCUCGGGCUUUGGAGAACUUGAAGUCUCAGACUUUGGAGAAUUGGAGGUCUGGGGUUUUGAAAAAGUAGAGGUCUCGGGCUUUGGGAAACUUGGGGUCUCGGGCUUUGGAGAAUUUGGAGUCUCAGGUUUUGAGAAACUAGGAGUCUCGGGUUUUGUAAAACUUUGCAUCUCGGGGGUUGGUGAACUUGGCGCCUCGGGCUUCGAGGAACUUGGAGUCUCAGGCUUUGAGAAACUUGGAGUCUCAGGCUUAGAGAAACUUGAGGUUUCUAGCUUUGAAAUGUUGGGAGUCUCGGGAUUUGAGAAACUAGGGCUUUCGGGCUUUGAAAAACUAGGAGUCACAGGCUUAGGGAAACUUGGGGUCUCGGGGUUUGGAGAAUUUGGGAUUUCAGGCUUUGAGAAAGCAGGGGUCUCGGACUUUGGGGAACUCAGCAUCUCAGGCUUUGAAAAAGUUGGGGUCUCAGGUUUUGAAAAACUAGGAGUCUCAGGUUUUGUAGAACUUGGCAUCUCGGGCUUUGAGAAACUAGGGGUUUCGGGCUUGGAAAAGAUAGGGGUCUCGGGCUUUAAGAAACUAGGGGUCUCAAGAUUUGGAGAACUUGGGGUCUCGGGUUUUAAAGAACUUGGGAUUUUAGGCUUUGGGAAAGUUGGGGUCUCAGACUUUGGGGAACUCGGAGUCUCAGGCUUUGAGAAAGUUGGAGUCUCAGGUUUUGAAAAACUAGGUGUCUCAGAUUUUGGGGAACUUGGUGUCUCAGGCUUUGAGAAAGUAGGAGUCUCGGGCUUUGAGAAACUAGAGGUCUCGGGCUUUGAGAAACUGGGAGUCUCAGGCUUCGGAGAACUUGGGGUCUCGGGCUUUGAGAAAGUAGGAGUUUCAGGAUUUGGAGAAGUAGGAGUCUCAGGCUUUGAGAAACUAUGGGUCUCCGAUUUUGAGAAAAUAGGGGUCUCGGGCUUUGAAAAAGUAGGAGUCUCAGGCUUUUGAGAACUGGGGGUCUCGGGCUUUAAUAAACUAGGGGUUUUGGGCUUUGAAAAUGUAGGAGUUUCGGGCUUUGAGAAAGUAGGGGUCUCAGGCUUUAUGAAAAUAGGAGUUUCGAGUCUUGGGGAACUAGGGGUUUCGGGUUUUGAGAAACUAGGAAUCUCAGGCUUUGAGAAACUAGGUGUCUCGGGCUUUGAGAAACUAGGAGUUUCGGGCUUUGAGAAACUAGGGGUCUCAGAUGUUGAGAAACUAGGUGUCUCGGGCUUUGAGAAACUAAGGGUCUCAGAUUUUGAGAAACUAGGAGUCUCGGGCUUCGAAAGACUAGGUGAAUUGGAGAAACUUGGGCUAGCAGGCUUUGAAACACCGGGGGAUUUGGAGAAACUGGGGGUAGUAGGCAUUGAGAAACUAGGGGUAGUGGGCGUUGAGAAACUAGGAGUUUGUAGAAUGCGACGUGCUGUUAUAGUAGUAAUCAUGUGGUCAUGUAUAAAGUAGAUAAAUGCAAGCAAUAAGAUGGAGGACAGUUUGUAAUGUUGAGCCAUUUUUUCUGCAGAUGCAAGAAGCUUAGAGUAACAUGUGUUAAGAGCAAAUGAAGUUUUGAUAUUCCAAUAGUUUUUCAUUUAGCUAUAUAUAGCUUUUUACAAGCAUAUAAAAAGGAGGAUUUCAAUAUUUGAUACGUUAGUUGACCUAUUUAUCUGCCAAUAUUAUAGUAUUUAGAAUUUGUCUUGUAAUAGCAAUAUCAUAGUAUCUUGAAUAUCGCUAAAAUAAAGGAAUACUCAUAUUUACUAGCUUAUAUGAGAUUAUUAAGGAAUCAAACUUUUGUUAAAUAUUUACUAAUCACCUUUAAAUUGUCAAUUACAAUGUAUUUUAUGUCCUUUCUUUAUUUGUUGUUUGUCUCUUUAAAUCAAAUUAAAAUAAGAAGUGGGUAUUAUAAGAGAGACACAACAUAUCUUAAUCAAAUAUAGUUUAACUUGACAUGCAUACCACUCUAUCACGAUAAUGAUGACACUGUUGAUUCUUCCUGUACAAAAAAAUCAUUACACUUUAACUAAAUAUUUUUAAAAUCAAAAUAUAAACUCCCUCAGGCUUAUAUUUUUUAAAGCAUUGUUUGACUGAUUAUCGCAUCUUAAUGUUAACUUGAUAUAAAUAAUUUAAUUUGAUGGAAAAAACAUUACAUUAUAUGAAUACUUAAAUGUUGUGAUCAACUAUCUACAAAAUAAUACGUAAUAUUUUUAGUAAAAUACGAUAACAUUUGAGACGUCCUAGUUAAAAGAAAUAAAAAGUCUAAUAUAACUUCGAACAUAUUAUACACUAUACUCAUAUUGAUUGCAGACAAAAUUAGGCUUUGUAUGGAACAAUAGUGACAGAAAGAGUAGCUACUACAAAGAUAUCAUCAAUCGUUCUGGUAGAGAUGUGGAGAGAAUAAAUAUUUAUUAAUUCUUAAUCAUAUGUCUUAAAUUUGAGCUUCAGGAAUGGAGUCACCUUUGGUGGCACAAAUCAUGAGUUUCCGAGUGACAAAGCAUGAAGGGGCAAAUGCAGCACAAAAUACUAGAUUCAUACGAACCUACUAAUUUUGGCACGGAGUUUGUGUAAAAAGAUCACUAAAAUCACAAUAAAUAAUAGGCCAGAAUCCAUACUUCUGUUAGGGCCAAACCCCCUUCGGCUGAAAAUAUUACUAUUUAUACAUGGUUAAAAUUAUUUUUUAUGUAUAUAUAGUAGAUAUUGAAUCCCCUUCGAUUAGUCCGUGUGUUUAGUUCUUUUGAUUUUGAACCCCCUUAUUAAAAAUCCUAGCUUCGCUACUGGGAGGAACCUCAGUCUUUGGCACGGCUGGAAUUUCUGACUUUUUCAAGGGAGGAAACUCUAGUUUUGGCAUUGCAGGAAUCUCGGGCUUUGGCAUAAUUGGGAUCUUAGGCUUUGACAAAGUUGGUAACUCAGGUUUCGGGAAAGUUGGUAGCUCGGGUUUUGGAACAGCGGGGAUCUCAGGCUUUGGUAUGGUUGGAAGCUCAGGCUUCGGCACAGUUGGGAUUUCAAACUUUGGCAAGGCUGGAACUUUUGGGAGUUCUGGUUUAGGUAUCUCAGGAACGGGCGUCUCUAGGAGGUGGCGUGCAGUCGCGCUACUUAUGUUGCCAUGAAUGAAGAAUAUAUUGAGAAAUGCAAGUAGUAAAAGAGAGGAUAUGUGGUAAUGCUGAGCCAUUUUUCUGCAAAUCUUAGAAUGUGUAUAGACUCAAAUGUAGCAUUGGCUUUAAGCCUGUUGCUAUAUAUAGGUUAUAAAAUGGACAUCUGGAUUUUGUUUGUUAAGUAAGGAUUGUGUAGUUGAACUUCUCAUCCACUUAGCUUCUAGUUGGUACCUCAAAAGUCAAUCUAGAUGACCUAAUUACAAAAUAGUGUAAACUUUUCACAAACACAUAGGUUAUGCUAGCAACCUGAUAGAAAUCCUUUCUUUAUUACUCCCUCCUGUCCAAAAAUAAAUGAAUUUUUUGGGGGUGUUACACCACUAAAAUUAGCUAAUGACAUUAAUUAAAUGGUACUUUGUCAAUAUUUAAAUGGUAAAAUUAGCUAACGACAUUAUUUUGGACCAGAUAGAGUAGCUUAUUUCAUUUUCUUGAAAAGAGAAAAGUCCUGGAUUCACAUUAUACCACAAAUGUCAAUACAAUUCUCCAAGAAAUGAAAAAAAAAAAAAAGAGUUAUUAAUACUGAAAAAAUAGUAUAUCAGAUUCAUAUAAAAAAAAGUUAAUACUGAAAGAAUAGCAUACAUGGGCGGAUUUAGGUAGGAUGAAGGGCUUCCGACAUCUUCAUCAGGAAUUUUACUAAAGACAUAUAUGCAAAAUAAAGUAUCAUUAUAAAUAAAAAUAAAUGAAACCACUUCCCGUAGCCUGUUGGUUCACUGGCAAAGCACCUAACUUUGCCAGCAAACUUCACACGGUUCUGCAAUCUUUCACUUUAAAAUUUUAGAGUUUUACUGCUUGAUAAAAAAAGUGAUGCCUGGUUGAAUGGGUAUGACUUUCUACCUUUAGUAAGGAAAAAUUAAACUAAAUCAUCAAUUUUUGCGGUACGAAAGGGACUAUAAACCCUAUUCGGAUUCAAUUAUUUGAUCACCACAUGUAAAACCUGAAUUCUGGAAACUAUUGGCUACAAUUACUUGGACUUCCGUAUUGCUUUCUCAGGGAUGAUGUUGAUUAAGAUCAUUUCUGAAAUCGAACAAAUGAUGAGUUUUUGAAUGGUUGUUUGAUGUUUUUACCUUGAAAAACAAUAAUACUAUUAUGAAUACAUCUUUAAAAAAAAACGAAAACUUGUUGAAGAGAAUUAUAGUAAUAAACUAAUAUCUUUUAAUAUGAUGUCUCUACAAUAUUUGUUCUUCGUUUACUCCUUUAAAUAUAGACACCGCUUAAAAAUAAAUUGAGCAUAGUAUAAGGUUGGAGGUGCAGGCUUCAACAAGGCCGAAAUAUUUGAGGAUUCGGUCUAGUUUAGGAAUCUCAGGGAAUGGCCUCUCUAGAUAGAAGUAGUAGUUGCACCAGCUAACAGGCCAAGCAUAAGUUGCUUUCAUCUUUCUUUUAGAGCAGACGAAAUAGAGGUAACAUAGUCCAUUUAAUAUGCAUUAGGAUAAACGAAACAAAAGGCAAAAAUAGCUAAAUCAUCAAUUUAGUACUAUACUUAAAUAUACUAAUUCAUCCUUAAUCCAUACUCUUGAAAUGUAAUGGAAGAAAUUGGUUAGGAAAGAAAAAAACUAGAGGGAAAGAGUGUACAGAUAAGGAAUGAGCAAAAACAGAGCUUACCAAUGAUACAAACUAAAUCAAAAUAUCAUAGAUCAUAACUUAUUUAUAACAAGUACAUAAAACACUCAUAUAGUAUAAUGACAGUCAAACAUGGUACAUCCAAUUCAAGCACUACUAUAGAAGAAUUACUAUUUCUACUCCAAGCAGAAAGUGUCCAUUACUAUCUCUAUGUCAUGGUUCAGGUCACAAGCUUCAUAGACUGAGAUAGAAAUCGCAAAACAUCAGUUGGGUACUUUUUAAUAGAGUGAAAGUAGCACAUAAUUACUCAUGGAGUAGCAGGUUUGUACGGUGGAGAAAGUGAAGGAAGAGUUGGUUUAGGUAGUUCUGGGAUUUCAGGCUUUGGCAUAGUUGGGACUUUUAGCUUUGGAAGCUCGGGAACUUUUGGCUUUGGUAGUUCUGGAAUUUCAGGCUUUGGCAUAGUUGGUACUUCUAGCUUUGGAAGUUCAGGGACUUUUGGCUUUGGUAGUUCUGGAAUUUCAGGUUUUGGCAUAGUUGGGACUUUUAGGUUUGGAAGCUCGGGGACUUUUGGCUUUGGUAGUUCUGGGAUUUCAGGCUUUGGCAUAGCUGGAGGAAGCUCAGUCUUUGGCGCUGCUGGGAUUUCUGGCUUUUUCAAGGGAGGAAACUCGGGUUUUGGUAUUGUUGGAAUCUCAGGCUUCGGCACAGUAGGAAUCUCGGGUUUUGGUAUAGCUGGGAUCUCAGGCUUUGGCAAAGUUGGUAAUUCAGGCUUUUGUAUAGUUGGAAUCUCUGCUUUUUUCAUAGUUGGAUGCUCAGUCUUUGGCAUUGCUGGAACUUCUGGCUUUUUCAAGGAAGGAAACUCGAGUUUUGGCAUUGUUGGAAUCUCAGGCUUUGGCAUAGAAGGAAGCUCGGGUUUCGGCACAACUGGAAUCUCAGGCUUCUGCAAAGUCGGUAAUUCAGGCUUUGGCAUAGCUGGCAUCUUAGGCUUUGGCAAAGUUGGUAACUCAGGCUUCGGGACAGUUGGUAGCUCGGGCUUUGGAACAGCGGGGAUCUCAGGCUUUGGUAUGGUUGGAAGCUCAGGCUUCGGCAGAGUUGGGAUUUCAAGCUUUGGUAAG
rnacentral:lncRNA from 1 species